GACGAACGCUGGCGGCGUGCUUAACACAUGCAAGUCGAGCGGUAAGGCCCUUUCGGGGGUACGACGAGCGGCGAACGGGUGAGUAACACGUGGGUGACCUGCCCUCAGCUCUGGGAGUAAGCCUGGGAAACCGGGUCGUAAUACCGGAUAUGACUCCAUGACGCAUGUUGUGGGGUGGAAAGCCUUGUGCGGCUGAGGAUGGGCCCGCGGCCUAUCAGCUUGUUGGUGGGGUGAUGGCCUACCAAGGCGACGACGGGUAGCCGGCCUGAGAGGGCGACCGGCCACACUGGGAC
rnacentral:rRNA from 1 species